rnacentral:rRNA from 1 species
AGAGUUUGAUCCUGGCUCAGGAUGAACGCUGGCGGCGUGCUUAACACAUGCAAGUCGAACGAAGCACUUUAUUUGAUUUCCUUCGGGACUGAUUAUUUUGUGACUGAGUGGCGGACGGGUGAGUAACGCGUGGGUAACCUGCCUUGUACAGGGGGAUAACAGUUGGAAACGGCUGCUAAUACCGCAUAAGCGCACAGCAUCGCAUGAUGCAGUGUGAAAAACUCCGGUGGUAUAAGAUGGACCCGCGUUGGAUUAGCUAGUUGGUGAGGUAACGGCCCACCAAGGCGACGAUCCAUAGCCGACCUGAGAGGGUGACCGGCCACAUUGGGACUGAGACACGGCCCAAACUCCUACGGGAGGCAGCAGUGGGGAAUAUUGCACAAUGGGCGAAAGCCUGAUGCAGCGACGCCGCGUGAGCGAAGAAGUAUUUCGGUAUGUAAAGCUCUAUCAGCAGGGAAGAUAAUGACGGUACCUGACUAAGAAGCACCGGCUAAAUACGUGCCAGCAGCCGCGGUAAUACGUAUGGUGCAAGCGUUAUCCGGAUUUACUGGGUGUAAAGGGAGCGCAGGCGGUGCGGCAAGUCUGAUGUGAAAGCCCGGGGCUCAACCCCGGUACUGCAUUGGAAACUGUCGUACUAGAGUGUCGGAGGGGUAAGCGGAAUUCCUAGUGUAGCGGUGAAAUGCGUAGAUAUUAGGAGGAACACCAGUGGCGAAGGCGGCUUACUGGACGAUAACUGACGCUGAGGCUCGAAAGCGUGGGGAGCAAACAGGAUUAGAUACCCUGGUAGUCCACGCC